UGUAGACCUGAAAGGUAUAAAGUCACAAGUAUGAGUACACUGUAAUUCCCAGUGCACUUGAUAAGCUAAUAUAUAAUCCCAAUGCUCCAACCAUGACAUGGGAGGUGGACACAUGAGAGUCUUGGAAGCCUGAGGGCCAGCUCACCUGAUACAUGCAGCACUGAACAAGAGAUAGUGUCUCCAAUAAGGUGGAAAGCCAGGACUGACAUGUGAGGUUGUUCUCUGCUCUCAAGUGUCCUUUGCUCUCAAGUAUACCAUGGCCUGUUUGUGUGUAUAAACUGUUAUGGUGGGACGCAGUCUUAACUCCUUACACUGCAGUUAUUUCUUAAAAGUCCCAAGGUAAAAAAUAAAGGCACUAAUAUGUUUUUAUAACCCCUCAAUAAUUCUUAAGACUGUAUCACUUGAUAGUGAUAAAAGUCUGAAACAAAUAUUUAACAAGAUCUGUUCUAUGUCAAUAAAGUGUGGGUUUUUUUUUUUUUUAAACUUGCUUUAAGACACACAGAUGUUUAAAGUAGACUCCUGAUCUUUUUGUUGUGGCUGAUAAUUAGGAACAAUCACAGAACAGACAAUAUGAAGAAAUAGGUUCAAAGUGCAUGGAGGGGGUCUGUAUGAACGGGAAGGAGGCUGAAGCAACUGUCUCUGUUGGAAAGUCAUUCAUCUCUCAUAGGUUCAGUGAGUCUGGAUUUUCACUCAUCCCCACUUUUCACAAGUACUCUGGUUUUUAAGUCCUUAUUGCCUCCAUUAAACUCUUGUAUCUAAAACAGCUUCCAAUUUUUGCCUUCCUACACAACUGUCACUCUAGGGUUGACUCACAGCACUUUUUAAAGUUUGCACUGUGUCUACCACCAAGGACACAUCACUGAUGGCUGUCUCACAUAACUCAGGGUCCGAAAAUUAAACAGGCUGAACAUGCGGCUGGCUGAACUGAACCAAUUUAAUCCUCUUGAGUGUGGACCGGACACUGCCAUUUGCUCAGCAGUCUGACCAGGUACAUCUUAAGUGGUGACAACAAUUCUGGCUGAAGGUUGCAAUUAGAAACCAAUUUUAAAACCAGAGUGUGCUGGCUUAAAACGGAAGAGAAACCCAUUGCCCAGAUGCGUCGGGAGCGCCAAACGCUGGCCUACGACGGGCUCCCGGCCACCUCAGGUCUCCCGCUCCUGCCGGGCGCACCCCGCGCACAGAGUGAGCGUUCACGCUCGCUCCCGCCCCUCGCGAGGAAGGAGCCGCGGGGUGUGGCGGCCGCUUCCUCGGUCAGGCGGUGUCCCCACCCCCGUCCUUCCGCGUCUGCCCGCCGUCCGCGGGGCACUCGGGGACGUCGCGGCGCCACGACUCGUCCCGCAGCGUCCGGGGACAGGGUGCACCGCGGGGCCGCUGCCCACCUCAGGCCCCGGGACUCCGCGCGUAGGCCUGCGAGGCCUCCACUCGAGUCCGAGUGUCAAGCAGCGGCCACCGCGCCUGAAGCGGGUCGCAGGAGUGGGCCACCAUCCCCGGAGCCCGCCUCGCCUCUCAGCGCAGCGCGUCACUCACAUUUUGGCGGCGGUGGCGGCGGCGAAUGGCCGAGGGUCGACGGACUCGCGCUGCAGGCAACCGAGGCUGAGGAGAUGGGCGGGGCCGUGGUGACGUCACGAGCGGUGGCCGGACCGGAACCCGCGACGCGCUCUUAGUCGCCAGGGGCGCGCCGGAAAUGGGCGGGAUAGGAAUCGAGCCGGGCGCAGCGCGGGCUGUCACCUCGGAGCAGAGCGGAGUGGGAGGGGCCAGAGCUUGCGCUGAAGUAGCGCCGGCGCUGACGAGUGGGCGGGCGUUCUCGGUGGACAAGUGGGCGGGGCUAGAGCGCGGCGCCUGCGCCUUUGGGCUGGGCUCUUCGCCGCCAAGGAAUCACAGCAGCUCCCUGCAGUGUCUCUGCUGCCCUGUCUCUAGCCCUGGAAAGGCAGUUUAGAGUGAGAAUGGGUACGUUUUACAUUACUGUGAGCCCGCAUACCUUGUCUCUCAUGUUAGAAACAGCGGACGUGCCUAACGUUCCAGAAUAAUCUAGUGGUCCUGAGGAGACAAAGUUCUUUUCUGAGAAAGAGGCAGUAGGAAGUCCAUGUGGAGUCUUGGCCACAGGAUUUGGGAGAAGUCUCCUCUCAGGUUCUCACAUGACAAAUAUUUGCCAUUGCACGGAUAUUAAAUCCCUAAAGGGAGCCUUGGCUUAGAGAACUGUAAGGUUCUUCAUUUCUGUAAUUCCCUGGCCCUUGCGGAGACGACACUCAAUUUUUGUUCAACGGGGGUGAGUAGUUAUGUGGAAAAGAAUCCCAACAAGGUCUAAAACAGACUAAAUAAACUCCGUUGGUGGAUUCACUCAAUGAAAUACACUAAGGUAUUUUUCCACUUCAGCAUGGUAACUCCCAAAGGUGUGUGUUGCAAUUAAAGAGCGCCACACCAGUGGGUACUAGGUUGAGUAGUAGUUAUAAAAACCAUUCUGGAUAGGAGGAAAUGGAGAGUGUGGGGCCGGGCUUAAACAGUGAACAGAAAAUGCAGUGGGCUCCUGGUGGGAGGUUCAGAGUGUGAAACUGGCACUAGUUCUGAGGUAGAUCAGAAGUGAAGUCCUACCAGAGAGAUAACAGAACUCUACAGCCAAGAGGACUGGAACAGUGACGAAGAAUACCUAGCAGGGAGGCCUUGUGAGGUAAGCUGGAAAGGGUCUUAAAAAAAAAAAAAACACACACAAAAA